rnacentral:lncRNA from 1 species
UAUUCAGAAUUUGUAUUUAUGUUGAGCUUUGGUAUGAGUUAGAACAUUAUAUACCAAAGUUAUUGCCUAAAUAGAGAUAUCCUUCUCUUCUCCUUUUUACAAAUUUAUUCAACUUUCAGAUUUUGACAAUGAUUGUGUAUGACAAAUCUGGAAUUUCUUUUCAAUAUUACCAAACAAAAAUUUUAUGUAGUAUUCCAAACAUUCAAUCAAAUUGUCCAAGUAUGGAGUAUUACAAAAUAUUGAGAACUCAUAAUUCAAGACAUCAUGCCACAUGCAAAAUAUAUUAUGUGUUAAGUCACGCAUUAAAAUAAAAAAAAGAAUGUCAAGGAUCAAAAUCAAUUCUUUUCAAAUAAACUCCCCCUAUUUAAAUAUAAUUUUGCACUGAUUUCAUCCUUGAAAUGUGUUUUCAAGUGAUUAAAGCUUGACUUGAUUCUUCUUAUAUACUUUCUUUUACUUUGUCAUUUAUUUUUACUUUCUUAUGCUCUAUACUCUAUUUGCUCCCUAUCCGGUGGAGUUGGAAGGGGCACGAGGUACUGCCACUAGCCUCCCUCUUGUGCCGUCCCUAAUAUGCCCUACACCGAAUAGUUGGGUCAAAUAGUGCCGAGUACUACCACUAGCCUCUCCAUUGGCACCAUCCCUAUGAUGAGCAAUAUAGAAAGGUUAAAAUAUUUACUUUAAACUCUCCCUCUAUUUAAGUGUAAUUCAUUACGGAUUUUAUCCUUCCAAAAGAAUGCUCAUACAAGUCUUACAAAUGUGCUGAAUAUAUUGCGCUUGUUUUACUUUUUCUUAAGAUUGGAGUAUUUGCCUUUAUUUAGAUUUUAUUUCUCUUGAAUAAUAUCCAUUAUCUUUUCUUUAUCUCUCUUUCUUUUUGUUAUUCUCAAGUAAUUUACUUGAAAGAGCAGAAUAAAGAAAUAAUCAAAUGUAUCAUAUAGAGGUAUAUCAUGCAAACACAUUUUCAUUAUGCUCAAGAAUUCAUAGCUACUCACAAGUCAUUUUAAAUCAAAAUUUUAAGCAUAAACUUGUGUAGUUCAUGGUUAUGACAUAGGUAAAGAUAUAUUUUAGUUUGGGCAAACCAUGAAACAAUUUCUAAAAGCACAAGUCAAUCAAUACAAAUAUAGACAUGAUAUCAAGAAAUUAAUAAUUAAAGACUUUAAUCAUGCCAUAGUAAGAUUUAAGUUAAUGACUUUGCUCAGCUAAUUUAUGAGAGAGGUAUCUAAAAUUAUCGAAUCAUUCUGCAUUCUUCAAGUCAAAUACCUACUAGAUUUCUUAUGUGUAAUCUUUUGGCUGAAGAAAGUCCUCUCUCUUGUUUGCAUGUGAAUGUUUAUUGUACCUUUUAUGGAGGUGUCCUUCAAGUUGAAAUCUCUCAUUUUCUUGCUUAAGGAUCCUGCAAACUCCUUUUCUUUCUUGAAAGAAAGUCAUUAGUUUCUUCAAGAUACAAAACAUUCAUCUACCCUAUCUUUAACUAGAUAACUCAAUACACGAUAUG